CUGAUUUUUGCUGAUAACCAUGUUCUUCUCAAGGAAUUCUUGAAUAUUAUCCCUUAAUAACCUUUCAAAUAUUUUACCAGCCACAGAAGUUAAGCUCAUAGGUCUAUAAUUUCCAGGCAAGGAUUUUGAACCCUUUUUGAAUAUAGGAACCACAUCUGCCUUCCUCCAAUCCUCCGGAACACUUCCUGAAAGAAAAGAAUCUUGAAAGAUUAAAAACAGAGGUUCACUUAUUUCUGCACUUAGUUCCUUAAGUACACGUGGAUGGAUACCGUCAGGCCCUGGAGCUUUGUUUAUAUUAACUUUCUUUAGUUGCUGC